rnacentral:rRNA from 1 species
CAGCAGCCGCGGGAAUACGGAGGGUGCAAGCGUUAAUCGGAAUUACUGGGCGUAAAGCGCACGCAGGCGGUCUGACAAGUCAGAUGUGAAAUCCCCGGGCUUAACCUGGGAACUGCAUUUGAAACUGUCAGGCUGGAGUCUUGUAGAGGGGGGUAGAAUUCCAGGUGUAGCGGUGAAAUGCGUAGAGAUCUGGAGGAAUACCGGUGGCGAAGGCGGCCCCCUGGACAAAGACUGACGCUCAGGUGCGAAAGCGUGGGGAGCAAACAGGAUUAGAUACCCCUGUAGUCCCUGUCUCUUAUAA